UGUUCUUGGAGCACCUGGAUCUGGAAAGACGACCUUCUUAAGGGCACUGGCAGGAAAAUUAGAUUCUUCUUUGAAGGUAAAUCGAAUUUUGCAGCAACUUCAUUCCUGAAAAUCAGUGUAAAUAGCAGAACAAGUAACAGAUGGUGACACACAUAUAUAUAACAUUGAUAAUGAAAACCAUGUGUGCAUAUCAUUGGUAUCAUGUUAUUUCUUGCUUACAGUUGAAGGGAAAGGUAUUCUACAAUGGGAAAUCAAGAUCUUCUACACCACACUACCUUUGUCCUUAUGUCAGUCAACAUGAUCUCCAUCUUGCUGAGAUGACAGUGAGAGAGAUAAUUAAUUUCUCCUCCAACCUGCUUGGAUCAAACAAUGAGUUUGAGAUACUGGGAGAUGCAAUAGAAAGAAAUACAGAUACUAAUAAAGUGUACAAGGAACUUUUUUCUAAGGCAACCAAGCUCGGAAGCAAGAGAAGCAACCUAAAAACUAAUUAUAUUAUCAAG